UACGUAUGGUGUAAGCGUUAUCCGGAUUUACUGGGUGUAAAGGGAGCGCAGGCGGUACGGCAAGUCUGAUGUGAAAGCCCGGGGCUCAACCCCGGUACUGCAUUGGAAACUGUCGGACUAGAGUGUCGGAGGGGUAAGUGGAAUUCCUAGUGUAGCGGUGAAAUGCGUAGAUAUUAGGAGGAACACCAGUGGCGAAGGCGGCUUACUGGACGAUUACUGACGCUGAGGCUCGAAAGCGUGGGGAGCAAACAGG
rnacentral:rRNA from 1 species